CAGGCGCGUCGCGUCGGACCGUGUUCUGACUGUGACGUCCGGGUUUGACCCUCCAGGUGCUGCUGGCUUGGGCUCACAGCCCCUUGGCUGGACUGCACCGUGAGUCCUCAAGGUCUGAAAUCUGUGUGCGUGCCGUGUGGGGAUGUCUGGGUCGGGGGGCGUCACACCAGGGAGGCUUCGGGGCCUCAGGGAGGUCUGGGAACCCGAGGGGCUGCAGGCAUGAGCAGGUGUGUUGCCCGGACGACUGGUCUGCGGGUGCAGGAGGGCGAGGAGCUGGCUCUCAAGCUGUCAGUCCUUCUGCUCAGAUGCCAGGAGGGAGUCUGCAGCAAGAUACCUUCAAGUUUUUGGUGAUGUUACUGAGAGCAAGAGGAACUUGGAAUAGCUAUUUUUUUUUUUUUGCCUCCAUUCGCUCUCGGGGGUGGGUGGGGGUGGAGGCUGUCAGUGGAAUCUGAGAAAAGCCCCUGGCAAUUUUCAGGUUGGUUAAGAGGCAGCCUCCCAAAUAAAGACAACCUAACAGCUGCCCCUGGCUCCGGGCGCAGCCCGACCUUGCUGCUCUGGAAAAUACCCCAGUAAAGGGACCCUUUGCUUAUUUGAAAGUCAGGUUCUGUGACUGCAAACCAAGGACUUGCUGCUCUUCUUAACCCAGGUGGGACACCUUCUUUGAGUUAAGCAAUACAUGGGUUAGCUGAGCACAGAGCACAAAACCUGUAAUAUUCUCCAGUGUGUCACUGGCUUAGCUUCAGAAGGGAAAAUGCCUUUGAAUACAAAUUAUUUUACAGUAUAUGUACUGUCCUUGCUACACUGAAAGCAGAAAAAUUCUGCCAACCAGGAGUAACAGUUCAAAAUGAGGUCUUCGAUUUUCUUUCCUUGUUUUAUUUGUUUGUUGGAUGGAGGACUGGGAUGCUGUUUGAGAGUGGAGUGGAGGAUACCUGGUGAAGGCAGGCACUGUGUUAUCCUCAUGCAAAUUCCCUGAGAACUGUUAACUAACAUGAAAGGAUAGUGACUAUGAGUUUGCGACAGUUAAUGGUUACAGGGUAUCCCUGUAUGUACUCAUAUCCAGCAGGUGCUUUGUUUCUUUUUCAAAAAGAUUAAAAAAUUAAAUCAUAGUUGAUUUACAAUGUUGUAUUGGUUUCUGGUAUAUAGCAUAGUGAUUCAGUUUAUAUAUAUAUAUUCCUUUUCAUAUUCUUUUUCAUUUAGGUUAUUACAAGAUAUUGAAUAUAGUUCCCUGUGCUGUAUAGAAGAAUCUUGUUGUUCAUCUAUUUUAUACAUAGUAGUUUGUAUCUGCCAAUCCCAAACUCCCAAUUUAUCCCUCCCUCUCAGUAACCGUAAGUUUGUUUUCUAUGUUGGUGAGCCUCUUUCUGCUUUGUAAAUAAAUUCAUUUGUAUCAUAUUUUAAAUCCCACACAUAAGUGAUAUAUGAUAUUUGUCUUUGUGUGACUUACUUCACUUAGUAUGGUAAUCUCUAGGUCCAUCCAUGCUGCUGCAAAUGGCAUUAUUUUAUUCUUCUUUAUGGCCAAGUAGCAUUCCAUUGUAUAAAUAUACCACAGCUUUCUUAUCCAGUCAUCUGUCGAUGGACACUUAGGCUGUCUCCAUGUCUUGGCUGUUGUAAAUAGUGCUGCUGUGGACAUUGGGGUGCAUAUGUCUUUUCAAAUUAAGAGUUUCCUCUGGAUACAUGUCCAGGAGUGGGACUGCUCGAUCAUAGGGUAAGUCUAUCUUUAGGUUUUAAGGAACAGGUGCUGUGUUUCUAACAGGAUCGUAGGAAACAAAUGGGGGGAUGUAUUCAGAUUACACUCACCUGUGAAACCUAGUGACUCUGGUCAGAUGACCGAGUUGUGGCAAAUAUUUAGUUCAUAGAGAUUGUUGCAGUGCUGUUAUAAAGACAAGGAGCUGAAAGAGGGGUUGUUGGUGGUUCAGAGGAGAAGCCGUGAGCCCUUCCUCUCCCUAGCGGACUACACGGACGCCCUGCUGGCACGUCUGGUCUCGGGAGCCUGCCCCAUGGGUGGGAGCACUUCACUGGCGUGUCCAGGCAAAUCGGAGCCACUUGUCGCCCACUGGAAGCUUGUCGGAGCCCUGUGGGUUCCUCCUCCACAAGCCUGGGCCCCACCAGCCGCGUUCCCUUAAAGUGGAAAAGCUUAUGGAAGGGCAGUGCCCCAGGAGGUGGCUGAGUCAAAUGUGCUCUACCCGCAGAAGUUCCUGGACCUGCGGGGAACCUCAGUGAGGCAUCCCCCCGUCCCCCUCUUCCCCGGGAGAGUGGCCUGUGGAACUGACCUCGCUCUACCAUCUUGCUGAUCUUUCUCGGGGACAGCAGGUACUUAUUAGCCUGAUGACGAGUUUCCUGGCCUUUCAUUAAGAUGAACGUUGCCGCCAAGGCGCCCUGGGCACACGAGAAGUGUGACGCUGUGUGCAGACGUCCUUUCUGCCCUGACCUCAUCCCUAGUGUGGCGCUCACUUGGAGAGUCCGGGGGAGCAUGUCCUGGUGGGACUAGACAUAGGCAACCCAGGAAAGGCAAUUCACAGUUAAAACUGCGGCAGGGAUUUGGCCAACAGUGUUCUCAUCCACGUGGCUCUGCCUUCAUUCUGGUUCCGGGGGAAGACUGUCUUCAUGGCACAAAUGCCAGGAAACCAGGAAUUAGCCUGCGCGUGGCAGUCAGUCACCUGUCGCGUUGGUCCCUGCCUUCAGCCAGUGUUCUGAGUGCUGGCCACAUGCUGAGGGUUACAGUAGGUCCCUUGAGUUAUGCCCAGGUCCUGCUGCUGGGCUCCGGCCACCCCCAAUCACGUGAUGAAGAGGGCGCGCACCGGUGGGGACCAUCCUCCGCGCGGUGCAGUUCCGUGAAGGACGUGCUGGUGCAGGCGACGCUUGGACGUGCACACUGGGUCUCGACUUUGGCUCCUGCUAGUGCUGCUCUGCGCUCGUUCGGGUGACGCCUGUGAGGUCACGAGUCUCUUGCUCUUGAGUGACCACCUGGGAGAGGGCCUGCUGGGAGAGACGGUUCAUCUUUCGUGGACUUACCCUGGCGUUUCUGUCAAGUGGUCAUGUAGUGUGAGCUGCGUCUUGGGCUCUAAUCUGCCCCGUUGAUCGCUGUGUCCAUUCUCACGGAACAUCACACUGCGCUCAUUCCCGUAGCUUUACAGUGAAUCUUCAAAUCAGGGACCGGUUGACAUUAUUCCUGUGGGUCCACUUCUGGGCUCUGUAUCCGUGCCAUCGAUCUAUCUGUCUGCUCCUUCACCAAGACCACACCGUCUUGAUGACAGCAGCGUUACAGGAAACCUUGAGGUCGGGAGUGUCAGUCCCCAGACCUGGCCCUCUUUCAGUACGGAGUUGGUGAUUUCGGGUCUUCCGUCUUUCCAUAGAAGCUUCAGAAUCGGUCUGUGAACACCCACGAGAUAACGUGCUGGGGUUUUUAUGGGAUUGUAUUUGUCUCGGCUUUUCACAUGCUGAAAGAAAAGCACUGCCAUCCACAAAUUCUGUGUCCACCGAAGCCACUCUUCACGAAUGAAAGCACAUAUCCAGGCAGAUCGUAUCAGGACACAUUUGGAAGAAGUAAAAACGGGAAGAAUAUGUUUCCAAACAGUGGUGCAGCCACAUGGAAACCAGUCUGGUGGUUCCGUGGAAACCUAGAACUAGAGCUACCUCAAGCCCCAGCAACCCCGCUCGCUGGCACAUGCCCAAAGGGAAUGAAAACGGGGCUUCAGAGAGACAGCUGCACCCCUCACAUUCAUUGCAGCAUUACUCAGAUUUGUGGCAAAAUGUGGAAACAACCUAAGUGCAGGCAGUCGAUGGAUGGAUACAGAUGCAGCAUCUUAUAACAGAACAUCGGCCAUGAGAAAGAAGGAAGCUCUCCGUUUGCACCAACAUGGCAGGACCUGGAGACGUUAUGCUCAGUGAAACAAGACCGACAGAGAAAGAAAAAUGCUCGAUGCUGUCAUUUAAACGUGGAAUCGGAAAAAGCCAAACGCACAGAAACAGA